UUAAAGUAUAUCUUAAAUACAAUAUAUGUGUACAUAUUUAUACAGUUAUCCACAAGAUCUAAUUCUUACUCCUGUAAGAAAUACUAAGAAUUCUUUAACCAGCUGGAGAAGAAGUUGUCAAGUAUAUAGAAAACUGAUAUUCUUCCCUCACCCUUGUUUUACUUAAUUAAUGUGAUAUGGGGGUUACAAACAUGUGUGCACAUGUGUGUGUGUGUGUAAUAGGCACUUGUUAAAUGAAAAUCACAUGCAGUUUGUUGAGUGUUUUGCUACAUUGAUCUCAAAGUAGUUUACAAUACAAUGGACAGAGCACUUGAAUUGGAUCCAAAAGACUUUGAUUCCCAUUUUAGUUCUGCCACUGAACUCUUAACUGUGUAGCUUCCUGAACUUCGGUGUCUUCAUCUGUAAAAUGGGAAUAAUAAUACUAACACUUUAUAUAUCCUGUUAAGUUCAUGUAAUGUUCAAAUAAUUUUGGAAACUGCUUUAGUACUCUAUAAAUGUAAACUGUUAAGUCUCUUCCUUUUCCUCUCCCCAAAAAGAAAAAAUAGUACAAAAAUUGUUCUAGCAUUUGAGAGGCAGAUAUAGGGGACAAGUUUUUUAAAUUGGAAAAAAAUCACUUGAUGAGGAUCCAUCAUUGAAGUGAAGUGAUGAGGUUUUCUCUACAGUUAGAUUUUUAUGAAACGUGCAUGCAUUCUUUAUUCUUUUAUUCUUUUUAUUUGAGACCAAAAGGCCUUGCUCUUUAAGUACUGCAUUCACACAGAUAGCAGAUCUCCCCAGCAGAGAUCAAGGACUGUAAUUAUUUUAUAGAUAAAAAUAAUAUGAUGCAGGAGUUUGUAAAAUGCUAAUGAAACCUAGGUAUAUGUAAAGCAACCAGCUCAUUCUUCUUUUCAGGUUCCUCAUUAGCAUCAGAUUUGCCUAGAUGCCCUGAUAAGCAGAGACUGUACUUUGUGUGUAUCUUUUAAAAUAGCAUUCAUGUGGGGUCAUCUUGACAUUGUAAACUCAGUAGACAGGAGAGCUUCCUAGUAAUUGCUGCUGAAGCACUCUCCCAGUCAAGGAGAUAAACAUUCUACACUGACAUUGACUUUGAAUGUUCUGAACCACAAGUAAGCAGUAGCCUAGCCUCCAUUGGGAGGCCUGAGUUUUCUCAAGAUCUGAAUUAGGAAUUCCCUGUGCUUGCCUGAUUUGAUAUGAGCUGUUUCCUGGUGGUAAUCAGAGUACAAGAGUCAGAGCAACAUGGUAGGCCAUCCUCUUGCUUAAUUUUUUAAAUUUUAGGCCCAGACAGAUGGUGAUCUGUGUACCAUAGAGCCACAGGAAGGAGCACAAUUGGGAUUAGAAUUUAGGGAAUCAUGUGCUCUUACCCUCAUAUGCCUGCAAGACAGAUGUUUUUGGUAAUAUAACAAAAGUACGUUUUGAAGGAGGAAGGGGAGUACUUCCCACUUCAAUGACCCUAUUACCUUUUCACUCUUUGUAGUAAAUUGUCCUGGAAAUGUAAUGAUCUAUAGCUGUAAAUAUGAUUACAACCUCUGUUUACAAUGAUGCAUGUAAGAAAUGGCACACCAGACUGCAGAUGUGGUUUGUGGGUUGGUGUGGCCUUCCCUCUUCAAUGGGGAAAUGGGGCUUAAGUCAGGUUUAAAAAAUGAGAAAAAUGCUUAAGGGACAUGACUAAUGUCUCAAAUGUGCACUACGCUACAUAAACCCAUUAUGCGCUUUAAUUUAAUGUUCUCUAUAAAGAUUCAAGACCUGUCAGUAGAAGGAAGGAAACAAGCAAUCCAUCUUCAGUGAAUUGUGAAUAGAUUUAUAUAUUUUUUUAAAUACACAUUCACCUAAAACAUACUUUUUCCUUCAUUCAAUUUUCUACACUUCUGGUCCAUUUCCUAUCUUGCUCUGCCACUACCUAGGCUGCUUACGAAUUGUUUUGUUCACUGAAAUAAGACUAAUGUGUUAAAUAUUUAACACUGCUAAUUGAUUCAAUGUAAAGGAAAAGUGGAACAGACACAGAUUGCCUGGAGCCUUGGUCAGCAGACUCUAGCACACAACAGAGUAGAAAGCAUUGUACUGAAGAUGAUUCAUCAGAAACUUGUACUACUCUUGAUGGAGGUGCUGGGUUUUUGUUUUGUUUUGUUUUUGUUGUUGUUUUGUUUGUUUUUUCUUUUGGUAGAAGGGGAAGAAUUAAAACAUGGACAAGUUAAGUAUACCUGGAAACUUGUUUUGUGUGUGAUUUUUUUUUUUUUUUGUUAACUUUAGGUUCCUUUUUGUUUUCAGUCUUGUCACUGAUUGGGAAGAGACAUCUCCCUGGCUGUCUCAUUUGGGGAAGAAAACUCCUUAUCUUGAAGAUAGCAAUUGUUAUGUUUAACAUUUUUUUAUAUUUUUCAGUAAGAGCAAGCUGAUGUAUGUGUUGAUGCUUUUCAUUUCGGAGCAGGUAAGUAUGUCCUUAAAUACAGGUACUGAAGAAAAUCCAAUGGGCAUAUGUAACUGGUUUCUGUUCUGAAAUCCAUUUCAGAAUAUCACAGUACCCACUGACUGUAAACUGACAGAUGUUUUCAUCGUCAUGAAGGAAUGGAAGAAAAGCCUACUAUAUUAAUAUUAGGAUUUCAUAAAUCAAGAAAUAGGUAUACAAAGAGAUCUCUUAAACCUCUUAAACCUAGUUAAAACUCUUCUGUUAGAAGCUGUAGGCGGAGAACAAUUCUGACAGUAACAUCAUUUUGUACUUUGAAUUGCUUUUCUGCUAUUGAAGUGUGCUGGUGUAUUAAGAAAUUAUUUAAGCCAGGAAGUGCAUAUGUUUUACCAAGUAUAGAAUUGGGGAAAUCAAGAUUUUUUUUGGGGGGGGGGGAAGGACAAAAGAGCCAAGGGGUGCAGGACUGAUUUAUUGCAUCCAGUGUUGUGAAAUUCACUAUUGUUGAUAAUAUAGCUUUGCUUUUGCUCUCUGCAAAUUUUUCCUUUAUAGAUCAGCGGGUUCUUUAUACUUCUGUGGUCCUCUACUAUAGAAGUCUUCUCCUAUUUGCCAAAGUGUAUCCUGUAUACUGCCAUACAUAUGAGAAGGUUUUUUGCCAGUGUAUAUCCUGUAGCUCGCCACACAUAUGAGAAUUUUUUUCCCCCUUCAAACCUUUGCCUUUGUCAGAAAAAAUAGUCAUUCUUCUUCACCCUUUCUCCCCCACCCCCACUGCAGAGUAAUUAGGUCUUACAGUGGUUAUAACCCUUAACCUUGUUGGCACUUAGAUACUUUGCAACAUAAUGAUGUUUUUCUGUGACUUCCUUUCCUCCCCUCCCUCUCCCUCCUCUACAUCAAAAACAAAUUACUUUUAGAAUAUUUAAUAGGUUCAUGGGGUUUUGCUCUAGUAUUAUCUGUUUUAAUUCUGUGUGAGAUGAGAUAUAGCAUUUGUCAGAGAGGCCACUGAUGAUGCCAGUACACCUCGCCAAGCACAGGUCACCAUGGCCUGAAAACCUGAGUUUGGUGGUUCAGUAGAGAGUGUGUCAUGCUGGUGAGUGGGAGGAUAGAUAACCGGAGGGGCUCCUUUUAGCUGUGGGGUGUUAAGAAGAUAAUAUGCAAAGCUAUUUCCAUGUUAACUAUUGUCCUCUCUUGUUUUGUAGACAUUAAUUAGGUUAUUCCAAUGCCACAAGCCUUUAUUGAGCAUCUUCCAUGUUCCAGGAGAGAGGAAGCACGACGUAGUAGAUAGAGUUGGCCUUGGAGUCAGAAAGAACCUGGAUUCAAAUCCUACUUGUGGCAUAUACUGGUUGUGUGACCUGUGGACCAGUGAACUUACCACUCUCUAGGUCUCUAGAUCACCCGGGGUAUGCCUUAGUCCACAAAACUCCCCAGCAAGACUGGGACCUGAUUAAAAUAUAUUUGAGAACUGUUUAAUAGAAUAAAGGAAAGUGCAAUGCAACAUAGACAAUAUUAGUUUGUGGUUUUCUAAGUCAAUUUGUAGCCCACAGGGAUCUGUUUCUGGUGGGCUUUUACACCACUGCUCUAGGCGGCUCUCUGAGAUAGAUCAUCAGUCUUAAGGGCAGUUGCCUUGAUAGAGAAAGAAGCCCUUCACCAGGAAUUGGAUCCAACCCCCCUCUCCCCCAACCCAAAACAACAACAACAAAAUCCCUAAAUCAAACUACAAAUAAACAAUUCUAUGCAUUGUCAGUGCUGAGAUUCCAAAGACAAAAAUGAAAUUGUUUCUGUACUCAAGGAAUUUACAUUCUGCUGAGGUUUAGAGAGAGCUACGAGACAUGUACAUAAUAAAUGCGGAGUAAUUGGAGGAAUCCUUCAUAGCUGGGGAAAUCUAAAAAGGUCUCGUAGAUGGAGCCUUGAAGCAAGGAGAAACAUCAAAGCAAAAGAUGUAUUUUGGGAAACAAUGUGUAGUCUCAUUUCUUGGAGAUAAACUGUUUAAAAAAUAAUAGCAGCAGGUAAGUUAGCUAGAAAGUGAGCUUGGGGCCAGAGAAUUGAGGCACUUAAGGCUAAGGUGUUCUUAUUUCAUUCUUUAGGCAGGGCUUAUGCAGUGUCCAGCACAUAGUAGGCUCUUAAUGAAUAUUUGUUGAUUGAUUGCUUGAUUGGAAAGCAUUGAGGAUUUUUGAAGAAGGGGAAGGUCAUCAGAACUGUGCUUUUUUGGCAAAAGUUGUAUAAGAUUGGAACUAUGAGAGCCUGGAAGUAAGGCCAUCAGAUGGGAGGUUAUUAUAGGCUAGAGGCAAUGGGAUGUCACGUUGGUCUACAACAUAGGCUAUGAUAAUCUAAUUUUGUAUUUUUAAUCUAUUCAUGGGACCCCAUGGCCAAAAAAAUUGUCACUUACCAGUAGCUAACCUCUCUACUUAACUAAACUGAUCUGACAGUAUAUUCAGUCCCUUGAUUGCUGGUAUAUCCCAAGUGAAACCCAUUUUGUAGAAACUGUUUUUAAAAACUAUGGCAUGAUGUGAUACCACAAUGAAGCAUCCAGAUAAGAGUAUGUAUACAUUUUGAAAAAUAAUCACAUGAAAUUACUGUAUAAAAACAUCGGUCUCUUUGGGGGAGAAAAAACUCUUAGAAAAAAUAAGCAAGUGAGCUUCUACCAUACAAAAAGGAAGGCAUUAUGGCAAAUUAAAGGGAUAUCUAAAAUGGCAAACAAAACAUGGAAAAUUAAGAACAUAUGACCUUAGCCAGAAAAAGCCCGAAAUUUGUGUUACUUUUAUAUUCAUUGUCUAAACCCUUCCCUUUAUCCUAAUCUUCCUCAUUCUUAAACUUCCACUGAAAAACUUUGAAGUCUUAGUGUUAUUUUAGAUUUGCUUAACUUUAAUUCCUUCUUUUAUCCGUUUUUUUUCUUUUUCAUUUUAUAUAUUGUAACUUUGAGCUUCAUGGAGUUGCCUGUUACUAUAGCUACAAUUUGAGAGUAUUCUCUCUACAAAUGGGAAGUAGAGGUUUAGGACAAGCAGAGCCUCUUGGGAUUCUAGGGGAUUUCCUUCUGGAUAUCAAUUUUUUAGAAAUGUUCACCAGAUUUGGGGGCUGCUAAGGCAGUAGAUACCAAUCUGUAAGGAGCUAUGUAAAUUUUUUGGAACAUGAAGGCAAUAGGCUUGGUCUUCCUUCACUUAUAGCUCCAGUAACAGAGAUCCAGCACAGCAUCCUUCAGGCAGGUGAAGGUUCUGUUUCUGAUGGGGAAAUUCAUGAGUCUUUAGUGGUAUAUAGUAUUUAGAGUAUAAUUAGAGAAUAGACAGGUUUGUCUAAUUUUGGUAAGGGAGGAAAAGUAUGAUAUAAUCCAUCUGAUGUUAGUAUUCCAGGCUAAAAGUUAUAAGCCUGUAAAUUAGAAUUGUGACAGGAAGGAAAAUGAUUUGAGGUCUAUUUUGCAUAGCCUAGUUGAAUCUAGUUGGAUCAACAAGCAUUUAUUAAGUGCUUGCUAUAUAUCAAGAACUAUGCUAAGCAGUAGGGAUUCAGAGACAAAAUCAGUCUCAAGGAGCUUAUAUUCUUUAGGGGCAGAUAGAGGAGAAUAGUGAUGUGGAAUGCACAUGUGCAAUUGGAAAUCUGGGACUGGGGCUUGGAUUCAGAUAUAUUGGAUAUGUUUUGUUUUCCAUAUAGAAAGCCCCUAGUAGAGAGAAAUUGGAUAGCUUUUGUUUUGUUUUCCAUAUAGAAAUUCUUAGUAGGGGAAAAUUCCUAUCCCCUAGGUAGUUCAAUAAUUGUUCCUCAACUUAAAGUUUUAGAGAAUUAUUUAAAUUACUGAGGUUAAUGACUUGACUAGGGCGAUGCAGCUAGUAUGUCUCAGAAGGAGUUGCAAACCCAAUUCAGUCUGAUUCAAGAGGUUUGCUCUCUGUACAUUAUCCCAGGGUACCGUACCAUUCAUAGUGCAGUUAUAGCAUAUGCUUAAUACAUGUAGUUGUAUUAUUAUUGUUGUUGUUGUUGUUGUUGUACAUGAUGUAGGGACUUUUAAUGAGGCCAGGUCAGACAGCGAUAGUAAUUGAGAAUUGAUAAGGGCAAGGACAGCUCCUUACAAUUUAACCCAUUUUCCCAUUUAACUUGUUUAGGGCAAUUUUCACACUUGUUUUGUUUUUGUUUUAAGACUGAUUAAAAAAAGUGCUUGGAGAUCUCCAGUGGUAGGACACUGUCUGAAUCCAAUAAAUCCUAUAGUUUAUAUUACUAGUUCUUAGAGCCAAAAGAUGCAGCUUUAUUAGUACUGGGCUAAGUGGAGAAGAAGAGGGUUUUGUCAGAAUUUGGGGAGUUAGUUUUUUUGCAACUGGCUCUUUUUGUUUGAGGCUAUUGUUAAUACUGUGUUGUCUGACACAGCUCUAACACCUAGAAAACUGGCCUUUAGGUUUCUUCUCAGAAGCUUGCUGUUGUGACAAACCAAUACCUAUGGCAAAAGGAAAAAUGUUGGAAUUGUGUCAUUUUAAAAUGAAAAGUGUUGGUGUAUAACCUCCUUAACCCUUGUGUAGACUGACUGUGCUGUAGCAUUUGCUUCUAAGAGAUAAGAUUGAAGAGUCCAGGUAAAGCCCAUAAUCUGGAUUACGUGAGAGGCUUUUUCUACCCUAACAUUUUUAUUUUUAUUUUUUGGUGGCAAAUCCACUUGUUUCCCAGGGGAGAAAAGGUUUGAGGGGAAGGGGCGGCUAAAGGGAGGAAGGUAUAAUGGCCAAAUGUCCAGGUGUUGCUUUGCAGGUCUUUAAAAUGCCUAACUACUUGUGUUCUAAAAUUUAAAUCCUAUUUGUGGGAAGUCAGUAGAGGGUUUAAUAGAAACUCGGGCAAAAAAAAAAAUGUACUGAAAUCAUCUGGCCCAAGUAUGGAGAGCCUAGGAAGGCUGAAAUGUUAUGGUGAAGUACUAGGAGGUAAUUUAUUUUUAAAAUUUAUUGAACCCACUGAAGCAUAAGUGUGAGGAUAAGAGAAACCAUAUGCGCAUAUGGUCCAGAAUGAAAUCCUUCAGAUUUCUGCGAUGGCUGUAACUAGUCACUAAACCAUCUUGAAUUAACUUUUUGUGUGUGAGUCUUUCCAAUUUAAUUUCUUAAGGUUCACCAGUUGUGGAGAAACAGCUGGCCAAUGCUACUAUUGAACUGUCAGGAGCAAAAUAAGUGCCAAGUUUUCCUUGCUGUAAUCCAUCUCCCGUCAAGGAAAAGGAAAAGACUGAAAUCUUUCCUAGAGAGAAACAGGUCUACAUUCAACUUUAAUCAUAGUUUCAUCUUCUUCAAGAUCACCUGCAGUGUUCAGUAGUCACAUCUCCCAAGUUCUUCCAGUAAGUCAUAUCUGGAAGCUUUUUCAGCAAAGAAUUAUUCCAGUAAGUGUUUAUUCACUUAGUCUCUCCAUCUAUAAGACUUGGAAUAAAGAGUAUUAUGCCAGUCAGAAGUCCCAGGUUUUAGCUCAGGCUUAGCCACUGACUCAGGGACCAUGGGGAAAUCUCUUAGCCUCACUGGGCCUUAUGGUCCUUCUCAUCUGUAAAAGGAAGGGAUUUUGAUCAGGUCUCUUUUCUAAGGUCUCUCUUAGUUCAGAGUCUGUCAGAAUCUAUUGGACAGGUUGUUGUGGGACUCACAUGGUACCACUUUGUCCAAGAAGGCUUUCCUGAUUUUCCCCUCUUCUCUUUCCUUUAUUCCCUCCUCCUCAUGCAAUCUCCCCUCUUUUAUUUCUUAUAGUACUUUUUAUAACUCAUGAUUUAUACUUUUUAUAAAUCAUAAGUUCUUAACUGUUUUUGAAUUAUAGUGUGGACAGGACACUUCCCAAAACUUAAAAAAAAAUCAUUAUUGAAGGAAAUACUAGAUUUCAGUUAAAGGUUAGUGAAAACAAAGAUAUAAUUUUGAUCCAUAAGACCCUUUGAAUCCAAUUUAAGAAUCCAUUUUCUAGACUUCUUCCUCCCAUCCGUUAU